UUCCGGUUGAUCCUGCCGGACCCGACUGCUAUUUGGGUGAGAAUAAGCCAUGCGAGUUGAAUGGGAUACCUAAAGUUCCCAUAGCAAACUGCUCAGUAACACAUGAUCAACUUACCCUAUAGAGAAAAAUAACCUCGGGAAACUGAGGAUAAUGUUUCAUAAUUGAAUUGGCUUGGAAAAGUUUUUCAAUGAAAAGGAUAAAAAAAAUGGUUUUUAUCUGCUAUAGGAUAGAAUCGUGUUCGAUUAUGGUUGUUGGUGAGAUAAUGGCUCACCAAGCCGAUAAUCGAUAGGGGCCGUGAGAGCGGGAGCCCCGAGAUGGGUACUGAGACAACGACCCAGGCCUUACGAGGCGCAGCAGGCGCGGAACCUCCGCAAUACACGAAAGUGUGACGGGGUUACCCAAAGUGUUCAAUAGAACUGUGGUAGGUGAGUAAUGUCCCCUACUAGAAAGGAGAGGGCAAGGCUGGUGCCAGCCGCCGCGGUAAAACCAGCUCUUCAAGUGGUCGGGAUAAUUAUUGGGCUUAAAGUGUCCGUAGCCGGUUUAGCAAGUUCCUGGUAAAAUCGGGUAGCUUAACUAUCUGUAUGCUAGGAAUACUGCUAUACUAGAGGGCGGGAGAGGUCUGAGGUACUACAGGGGUAGGGGUGAAAUCUUAUAAUCCUUGUAGGACCACCAGUGGCGAAGGCGUCAGACUGGAACGCGCCUGACGGUGAGGGACGAAAGCCAGGGGAGCGAACCGGAUUAGAUACCCGGGUAGUCCUGGCCGUAAACGAUGCAUACUAGGUGAUGGUACGGCCAUGAGCCGUAUCAGUGCCGUAGGGAAACCGUUAAGUGUGCCGCCUGGGAAGUACGGUCGCAAGGCUAAAACUUAAAGGAAUUGGCGGGGGAGCACCACAAGGGGUGAAGCCUGCGGUUCAAUUGGAUUCAACGCCGGAAAUCACUAGUGCGGCCG
rnacentral:rRNA from 1 species